AUUGAACGCUGGCGGCAGGCCUAACACAUGCAAGUCGAGCGGAGCGGCGGACGGGUGAGUAAUGCACAGGAAUCUGCCUGGUCGUGGGGGAUAACGUCCGGAAACGGGCGCUAAUACCGCAUACUAUUAGAUGAGCCUAGGGCGGUGUAGUUAGUUGGGGGGGUAAAGGCCUACCAGGGCGACGAUCCGUAACUGGUAUGAGAGGAUGAUCAGUCACACUGGAACUGAGACACGGUCCAGACUCCUACGGGAGGCAGCAGUGGGGAAUAUUGAACAAUGGGCGAAAGCCUGAUCCAGCCAUGCCGCGUGUGUGAAGAAGGUCUUCGGAUUGUAAAGCACUUUAAGUUGGGAGGCGUUACCAGCAGAAUAAGCACCGGCUAACUUCGUGCCAGCCGCCGCGGUAAUAC
rnacentral:rRNA from 1 species